rnacentral:rRNA from 1 species
AGAGUUUGAUCCUGGCUCAGGAUGAACGCUGGCGGCGUGCUUAACACAUGCAAGUCGAACGAAGCGCGCGGAAGGAAGGCCUUCGGGCCGGAGAGCCGCGGGACUGAGUGGCGGACGGGUGAGUAACGCGUGGGCAACCUGCCCCGUACAGGGGGAUAACAGCCGGAAACGGCUGCUAAUACCGCAUAAGCGCACAGCGCCGCAUGGCGCGGUGUGAAAAGCUCCGGCGGUACGGGAGGGGCCCGCGUCUGAUUAGGCAGUUGGCGGGGCAGCGGCCCACCAAACCGACGAUCAGUAGCCGGCCUGAGAGGGCGGCCGGCCACAUUGGGACUGAGACACGGCCCAAACUCCUGCGGGAGGCAGCAGUGGGGAAUAUUGCACAAUGGGGGAAACCCUGAUGCAGCGACGCCGCGUGAGCGAAGAAGUAUUUCGGUAUGUAAAGCUCUAUCAGCAGGGAAGAAAAAAUGACGGUACCUGAGUAAGAAGCACCGGCUAAAUACGUG